rnacentral:rRNA from 1 species
AUUGAACGCUGGCGGCAGGCCUAACACAUGCAAGUCGAGCGGAUGAGUGGAGCUUGCUCCAUGAUUCAGCGGCGGACGGGUGAGUAAUGCCUAGGAAUCUGCCUGGCAGUGGGGGACAACGUUUCGAAAGGAACGCUAAUACCGCAUACGUCCUACGGGAGAAAGUGGGGGAUCUUCGGACCUUACGCUAUCAGAUGAGCCUAGGUCGGAUUAGCUAGUUGGUGAGGUAAAGGCUCACCAAGGCGACGAUCCGUAACUGGUCUGAGAGGAUGAUCAGUCACACUGGAACUGAGACACGGUCCAGACUCCUACGGGAGGCAGCAGUGGGGAAUAUUGGACAAUGGGCGAAAGCCUGAUCCAGCCAUGCCGCGUGUGUGAAGAAGGUCUUCGGAUUGUAAAGCACUUUAAGUUGGGAAGAAGAGCAGUAAGUUAAUACCUUGCUGUUUUGACGGUACCAACAGAAUAAGCACCGGCUAACUUCGUG